rnacentral:rRNA from 1 species
GACGAACGCUGGCGGCGUGCUUAACACAUGCAAGUCGAACGGAAAGGCCCUGCUUGCAGGGUACUCGAGUGGCGAACGGGUGAGUAACACGUGGGUGAUCUGCCCUGCACUUCGGGAUAAGCCUGGGAAACUGGGUCUAAUACCGGAUAGGAGCCAUUUUUAGUGUGAUGGUUGGAAAGUUUUUUCGGUGUAGGAUGAGCUCGCGGCCUAUCAGCUUGUUGGUGGGGUAAUGGCCUACCAAGGCGGCGACGGGUAGCCGGCCUGAGAGGGUGGACGGCCACAUUGGGACGGAGAUACGGCCCAGACGCCUACGGGAGGCAGCAGUGGGGAAUAUUGCACAAUGGGCGCAAGCCGGAUGCAGCGACGCCGCGUGGGGGAUGACGGCCUUCGGGUUGUAAACUCCUUUCGCUAGGGACGAAGCUUUUUGUGACGGUACCUAGAUAAGAAGCACCGGCUAACUACGUG